CUUAUUCCCCGUUACGUGAGUGAAAUAGACGUAAGUCCUGUCAUUCGCAAUAUCACCUUAAAAUUUAUAAUUGAGCAAAAAUAUUAACUCUCUAAAAUGCAAUCGAACCGAUUAUUCGCCCAUAUUAUCCGGAGACACGUUUCGAAACGAAAUUAUUCCGGUAAUGAGAUAAAAGCCUCAUAUAACGAUUUGCCAUCACCACAGGGAAGCUGGAAAACCCAUCAUGAUGCUAUGCAAAGAAAAUACAACAUGCACUUGAUUUUUGGAGUUGGAUUUCUUGUUGGGACGAUUAUUUUCGCUCGUGCUGCUGGUUUCUUGAACUUAAAUUACGCCCCCCCAGCAAAACCCGCUGAAUAAGUGAAUUUUAAGAUUUAAUGUUUCCAGUAGUGUGAAUAAAUAAUAAAUAAAUUAUUAGGUUAUAAUAUUUUUAUUGUUUUUACUUUGAGUAUAUGAUUAUAUUGAUAUAAAGAAAAAAAAAUUACAUUAAAUACAUAUGUUAGCAUGA